UGAUGACGAGACGCUAAGGCGUUGAAGCAGUGUAUGUCAGACUUCCAAGAAAAGCUCGCAAUGUCACAAAUAAAAAUGCCUGUACCAUAACCGACACAGGUGGGUAGGUAGAGUAUACUAAGGGGCGCGAGAUAACUCUCUCUAAGGAACUCGGCAAAAUGACUCCGUAACUUCGGGAGAAGGAGUGCCUUAUUUAUAAGGUUGCAAUAACAAGAUCCAAGCAACUGUUUUAUCAAAAACACAGGUCUCCGCUAAGUCGUAAGACGAUGUAUGGGGGCUGACGCCUGCCCAGUGCCAGAAGGUUAAAGAAGUUGGUUAGUGUAUGCGAAGCUGAUGACUGAAGCCCUGGUGAACGGCGGCCGUAACGAUAACGGUCCUAAGGUAGCGAAAUUCCUUGUCGGGUAAGUUCCGACCCGCACGAAAGGCGUAAUGAUUUGGAUACUGUCUCGGAGAGAGGCUCGGUGAAAUAGACUUGUCUGUGAAGAUGCGGACUACCUGCACCAGGACAGAAAGACCCUAUGAAGCUUUACUGUAACUUGAAAUUGGAAUUGGACUUUGCUUGCGCAGUAUAGGUGGGAAGCGUUGAAAAUAUUCUUGCGGGAGUAUUGGAGCUAUCAGUGAGAUACCACUCUUGUAAUGUUAGAUUUCUAACUUUGAACCAUAAUCUGGUCAAAGAACAGUUUCAGGUGGGCAGUUUGACUGGGGCGGUCGCCUCCCAAAUGGUAACGGAGGCGUACAAAGGUUUCCUCUGAACGGAUAGAAAUCGUAUCUAGAGUGUAAAGGCAUAAGGAAGCUUGACUGUGAGACCUACAAGUCGAGCAGGGACGAAAGUCGGUCUUAGUGAUCUGACGGUACUGAGUGGAAAGGCCGUCACUCAACGGAUAAAAGUUACUCUAAGGAUAACAGGCUGAUCUCCCCCAAGAGUUCACAUCGACGGGGAGGUUUGGCACCUCGAUGUCGGCUCAUCGCAUCCUGGGGCGGUAGUACGUCCCAAGGGUUGGGCUUUUCGCCCAUGAAAGCGGUACGCGAGCUGGGUUCAGAACGUCGUGAGACAGUUCGGUCCAUAUCCGGUGUAGGCGCUAGAAUAUUGAGAGGAGCCUUCUUUAGUACGAGAGGACCGAGAAGGACACACCGCUGGUGUACCAGUUAUCGUGCCGACGGUAAACGCUGGGUAGCUAUGUGUGGAGUGGAUAACCGCUGAAAGCAUCUAAGUGGGAAGCCCACCUCGAGAUGAGUAUUCUCA
rnacentral:rRNA from 1 species